AACGUAGACAGCAGUAGACAGUGACAAGUGAUAUUGCUUUCAACCGCAACGACCAUCGUUUUGUUUAUACUAUAUAUACCUACCAGAUACCUACGUACCUACCUAGUGACUACUCUUUGCCCCCUCAUUGGGAUUUAGAAUUAAAUGUGAACUUUUUGACUUUGUGAAUUAUUUAUUAUUGAAAGCAUCGCAUUCGCUAUAGUAGAAUUGAUUUGAGGUGCGUUCUACGUACAGAAAUAAUUGUCUUAAUUUCAACUAAAGUCUGUAGAAAUCUCUGUAAUGGGCUUAAUUAUUGGAUUAAUUAAGCGACUUAUAAGACUGCUAAUAUACUUUACUACAUUUGCUGCCAUUAUUGUUUUAAUCCCAAAUUUACCACCAUACACACGGUUUACUGCAAUCAAAUUGGCACCCACACUACCAAGCACAGGAAGUUUGACACCAAACAAUGCCCUUAAUAAUGCCGAAAGACUUUACAUAGACAAGUUGUUAGGGCCAGAAGCAUUCCAAGUGUACAAAGGUGAAUUGUAUACAAGUUUAGCCACAGGUGAAAUAGUUAAAGUGUCACCUGGUGGCCAUGUCACUUUUGUAACCAAGAUUGGACGACCAUGUGUUGGACUAGUACAAGAGCAUAUUUGUGGUAGGCCUCUUGGUUUUGAAAUUGAUGAAAAAUCAAACACGUUGUAUGUGGCCGACGCCUACCACGGUAUAUGGAAAGUAGAUUUGAAAACUGAUAAAAAACAACUGUUAGUGUCUCCUCAAGUCGCUAUCGGCGGUCGUAAACCGAAGUUGUUCAAUUCGCUUGCGUUAGCUAAGAAUGGAGACUUCUAUUGGACAGACUCUACAAGUGAUUUUCAACUUAAAGAUGGCGUUAUGAGUUUAUUUGCAGAUCCAUCUGGCAGGCUAUUUUACUACAAUGCUGGUAAGAACCAAAGCGAAGUCCUCCUGGAUGACCUGUGGUUCGCGAAUGGUGUAGUUAUUUCGGCAGACCAGCAGUUUGUAGUGGUGUCCGAAACCAGUCGCCAUAGACUUGUGAAAUACUACAUCGCAGGACCAAAGAAAGGCACUUCUGAAGUUUUCAUUGAUGGGUUACCGGGAAGUCCAGACAACUUACGCGUCCUCCCCGAUGGGUCUGGUGUGCAGGUGGCGCUUUAUAUUGUUUUUGAUGACGAACAUCCGCUUCUUAUAAAAUCAAUGUCUGAAACACCAUUAGUGAGAAAAUUCCUUGCGCGCAUUCAACGCUUAAUCGAAAUACCCUUUGAAUAUUUAAACAGUUUGUACCCUCAUAUAAUAUUGGAAGAAAUAGUAUACUUUAUUGGUCACUUUAAAAGUAUUUCAGGUUUGGCACCAGGAAAAUCAGGUUUGCUGCAAUUAGAUUGGGAUGGUAAAAUUGUUGCUUCAUAUUUCAACAAUGAUGGGACUUUGGGACACAUCAGUGAUGCCAUUGUUUACAACGGGAAUUUAUACACUGGUAAUCCACAUCUCCAAAACUUUAUAGGAUCCGUGGGAGCGCCUCCGCUAUUACUAAACGCUUUUAGCGGAGCCAAAAAAUUGGAAAAAAAAGAAAUCCCUAAUGAUUCCAAACCUCAACAAGUGAAGGAAGCACCUAAGACUCCUGAAAAAGUAAUUGUUCAGGAUAUAAAGGUUCCAAAACCUGUUGAAUCUGUGAAACCGAAGCCUGUCGAGACACCGAAACCUGAGCAAAAGAGACCAGUAGUCGACACAAAACCACAAGCUAAAGAACCUAGCCCAUCAACAGGCAAACAACCUGAUCAGAAGCCAAGUGUCGAAGUAAAACAAACACAACAAGCGCAGGCCAAGCCUACGAUUAAAACAGAAACGAAACCGACUCCUACACCACAACCUGAAGCUAAACCUACUCCAAAACCUGAAGCUAAACCUACUCCAAAACCUGAAGUUAAACCUACUCCAAAACCUGAAGCUAAACCUACUCCAAAACCUGAAGUUAAACCUACCCCGAAACCUGAAGCUAAACCUACUCCAAAACCUGAAGUUAAAUCUACUCCAAAACCUGAAGUUAAACCUACCCCGAAACCUGAAGCUAAACCUACCCCGAAACCUGAAGCUAAACCUACCCCGAAACCUGAAGCUAAACCUAUACCUAAGUCUGAAACCAAGCCACAAUCUAAACCUGCAGUCCAAACUACGCCUAUGCCUAAAGCUGCUGAUACAAAGCACACUACAGAAAAACCCAUCGCUGCUAAAACAUCUGCAUCACGGGACUCCGAGAAAAAGGAAUCGGACCCCCAAAAACCCGCAAAGCCUGUUAAGCAAAGUGCAAAACAAGAAAUUCCAAUUAAAGAAGAAAUAUCAUCGGAUACUGCAAAACCAAACAAGGACACAUUAAAAGUAAUCAAAAAAGGUGGUCCAGCAGAGAUACCUAACCCUAAUUUGGUGUAGAUAUUCAAACGUCAGUAAACUUGUGUUCGUCCACUGGUUGAAUAUUGACCAUAAUCAUUAUUCAAAUUUUGAACAGAAAUUGAUAAUCGAAAUUGUUUUUUUUAUUGAUAACACUAAAUCCUGUCUGUACCUACUUAUACAGAUAUUAGAUACAAAUCAUCUAUAUUCAUUUUAUAUUAAAUUAUUUUUAGAACAAGAUCUCUUUAUAAUGAGGAAAUAUCAGUUUUAUUUUAUAUUAAAUUAUUUUAUUUUAUAUUCCUAGAAGGUUAUGGCAAUAUAAUAGUGUAAUUUUAUUACCAUCAUUCCAAACUGUCAUUCCAAAUCAGUAAAAGGUAGCAAGGGUUCUGGUACAAGUAACAAAAAAAUUUUUAUUCUGUGUAAGUUAAAAAUCUUUAAAGUGGUCAUAACGAGGAUGGUUGUAUAAAUCGUUUUAGUGUAAUCUAUAGAUUAGUUAAUAGUUUUUGCACAAAUAGAAAAAAUUACAACUAUUUUGCCUGAUGUCUCAUAAAUAUUAAGAUGUUUCUGUUUAUUUUUAUUUGGACUUUUGGUUUAUAUAAUUUUUUGCUUAAAGUAUAUUUGAAAUUGUGUUAUUACGUUUUCAUAUGUUUAUUACAUUCACUGAUUUCUCAUAAUGUUUUGUUAUUGAGGGUGAAGUAGAAAAAGCGAUAGAAAAAUAUUAUUCUCAAUUCAGGACCAAUAGAAUGAUUCAAUAAUAAAUUAUCAGAAAAACUUACAAAUAUCGCUAUAAAUCUGCACUAUGUUCAAACAAAUGAUGUUAUAUAUUUUUUUUUAUUUAUACCAAUAUUAGGAACAUAAGCCCGAGCUGAUUAUUGUUACCAUGAAAUCACUGUCACCAAUAGUGCAAUACAUAAUUAAGCAGUACAUAAUAAAAAUAAAUUUUAUCAAGUUUUCAAUUUAUAUUUUUAGUGGUGUUAACGAGUACAAUCAAAAUUUACGAAGAAAACUUGAUAUUUUCGUCGUACAUAUAGGAUAUUUUUAUAUAAUAAGUAUGAGAGGUCGUAUGUUUUGGUAAGUAUUACCACUAAGUAUUACUGACCGAUAGUUCUGGAACCACUUUCCCUAUAUUGCAAUAAUUAUUGUAAUAAAUUAAGAUUUUGUAUGUAGAUCGAAAAGUAACAUAAAUCAAUUUCAUUUUUUCGGUGAUGAACACACAUUCCAUACUUUUCUUUAACAAUAAUUAUAUUUUGAAAUGUGAAUGAUAUUGAUUAAAAUUUAUUCGGCUCGCAAUUUUUACAUUUAUGUCCUUUUGGCAGUAUUGAUUCUGGGAUAGUGCGAAUGAAGCUCAAUAACUAGAUUCGGACGAAUAAAAAAAACAUGAUCUGUUACUACUACAUUGGUAUGGCUGCUUAUUAGAAUGAAAUUCACUCCAGAAAUGGCUAACCAGGUUAGUAUAACCGGCGCAUUUUGCGUAUUCACCUGUUUUUAUUUUUUACAUUAUUAUCAUUUGGGUACUGCAUAAUCAAUUAUACCAUAUAUAUAUAUAUAUAUAUAUCAAGUAGCUAUAUUGCAUUGCCCAUUACCUAGCUAAUAAAGAAUCUGAGUUUAACUAAACACUGAAUUGACACUUUCUUUCGAUGCUAAAAUAAUAUUUAGAUUGUCGACGACAAUCAUUAAUUAAAAUUAUUUUAAAAAAUCUUAUUGGUAAGACCAUUGAUGUUUUCAUUAUAAAUAUACGUAAGCAAUAAAUAUAUUUUUUGAUAUAUCUGUGCACAUAUUACUUUGUGUUAGUACGUCUGGAUGGCGGGUUUCCCACUGCGACAUUUUUUCCUAAAUGAAUGUACUUGUGUACCAUUCAUAAUAAUAUUUACUGUGCCUCGUCUUAAACAAAAUAAGUUACACCCGCCAUCCUCACACGACGAAUGGUUUGUGUAACAAUCGACUAGUUUUUAUUAAAAUAAACUGUUUGGUAAUA
rnacentral:misc_RNA from 1 species